ACAACCCAAUAGUAUCAGAAGCAAAGCCCGAGGAAGAAAAGUCCUAGGUUGUAUUUACCAAGUGCGCGCGACUACACAACUAUGGAACUAGCUGCCAGGGAGGGAGGAAAGGCGAAGUAGAAACAGCCAAGAGAAGAAGGGACCAUAUGUAUGGAUGGGGCUGGUACGAUCCAUGCUUCAAUAGCAGUCCCUUCAACCUUGCUUGAAUGUGGAGGUUCGAUAGACCACCAGACUCCAGAGAUAAACUACCUUGGCUUGAAGGGAAUGCUAUCAUCACUGAUAGCUGACCACUAUGUUGUUCGCCAGCAUAUGAAAGCUACGCUGAAUUGUUUAACAACGUUGUGUUUCAACUGAUGAGUAGAAAACUUCACUGAACCAUGCACAAUAAUAGAGAUUGGACUGAUGGUUCGCAAAGACGAAAGAGAUGGACAGCACAGAGAUGCCAAUAAUUUUAAAUAUAAUCUUAAAAAAAACUUCAUUCUUAAAGUGAGUGAGAACAGUAUACAUAAGGAAGAGGCAACUGCCCUGGUCAUUGUCACACCCAGAUGUGAUGAUGGGACCUGCCGCGGGCAUCUUGCAAGCAGACAGGAGCCAGCUUGCAGACAAGACCAACACAGCAAGAUGACACGGCCGAAUGUGGACCUGAGUCCUUCGUGAUACUGUGGAGCUGAUCAAGUAACCCAGGAGUGUGCUUACCGUGGGCUUCCUGGCGUCUAAGGUGCUGACACUAUAGAAAGGGGAAAGGAAGCCCAACAGUGACUCAACAUAGACAACGAUAUUAUUGAAAACAGAGCAACUACUGGAAGAAGGAAUUCUCAGUCAACAACAGAGAAAACAUGAAACAAAAGUUCAACUCAACGCUUAAUUCACAUUGUUAAAAACAAGACAACAGGACCAAAAUGGAGUCACUUAUGGCAUCCUGGGAAGGACAGUCGUGGCCACCAUCCUCCACCUAAGCGAAAUGACAAGGGCAAUUGGAACUGGCUUUGUGGACAGCCCGUAUGCUGGGACUCACCUAUGAGAAAGGCAUUUCAGCCUGUUCUGUUAAAAUCGGCACACGAUAAAAUUGACUUUUUGUGUACACAGUCCUGUGAAUUCUGGCAUCUAUACAGAUUGGUGUACCCACCAACAAGAUCAAGGACAAGAGGCUUUUGAGUGAGCCCCACAGUAAUGGCCGCCAUCAUCACCUGCUCUGUCCCCUGUGCUUGUGAGCACUGAGCACCGCAUCCAGAAAUGCCGUGGUUAGUGCUUUGUCUGCCUCCAUGUGUUAUAGAUGUGUGUUAUGUAUUAUAUAAUAAAGUAUAUAUGUAUAUUUAUAGACCUUAUUAUGUAUAUUGUAUAUAGAUGCCAUAGUAUUACGAAUAAUAAUAUACAGGCAGGAAAUAAAGUCAGCCAAUCCCUAAAAGGCUGCUGUCUUAGUUUACUAAGGCUGCUGUAACAAAUUACCAUAGACUGGGUGGCCUUAACAGUAGAAUUGUGGCCCAGUAGGGUUUGGCUCCUGGGGAGAGCCCUCUUCCUGGCUUUGUAACGAGCUGCCGUCUCGCUGUGUCCUCGCAUGAAGGAGACAUAGAAAUCUUUUUCUCUUCCUCUUCUUUAUUUUUUUUAAGUUUAUUUAUUCACUUGCUUUUGAGAGAGAGCGUGAGGAGGGGAAGGGCAGAGAGAGAGAGGGAGAGAGGGAAUCCCAAGCAGGUUCUGCGCCGACAGCGUGUGGGGCUCGAACUCACGAACCGUGAGAUCAUGACCUGAGCUGAAAUCAAGAGUCAGAUGCUCGUCCGACUGAACCACCCCAAGCGCCCCUCUCUCUUCCUCUUCUUGUAAGGCUCCCAAUCCUAUCGGAUUAGGGCUCCCCCUAAGCCCUCGUUUAACCUUAGUACCUCCCAAAUGCCCUAUUUCCAAGUAUAGUCGCUUUGGGGGUUAGAACUUCAACAUACAAAUUUUGGGAGACACAGUUCAAUCCGUAGCAACUGCUAAAUGCAAAGGGGCUAAAUACCUAGAUGUGCCAAUAAUGGCAAAACGCAAGCACUGUCACAUAUGUCCGUCUGGUGCAACACCCAUUAUCCAUUAGUCUAAUAGUAACAUGUUAAAAACAAACAAACAAACACCAAAACCCUUGUGUUUCUUUCUAGAACGACGGGAGAUUCUCAGCCACCAAGUAGUUUCCAAAGAAAAAAUUUUUUUUUCCUUUUUUGUUUUCCAACUUUCAAAAAAAUUUCAGACCUACAGACAAGUGGAAAGAAUAAUACGCACAUUUACAUACUUGCCAUUUUGGCACAUUCCCUCACAUCCCAGUCACAGCCUCUCAGCUUGGGAUGUAACUCAAAGACCAUUUGAGUCACCCAUCACCUCUGACACACACUCAGUCUAGACGGGCCAUCCGGCCUCCGCUUCUAGAUCUCUGGUGAUGGGGAACUAGACUCUUUGAGCCAGCCCCUUCUGUUUUUAGAGGCCUCUGCUUGUGUCUGAGUUUAUGCUUAGAAUAAACUGAGAUCUGGCCCUCCGUGGCUUCCUCAGUUGUGCUUUAUUUAACACUCUAGCCAGACAGACUAAUUCUAGUUCCCUUCUCAUGUGACAGCUUGAAAAUGUUUGACGGGAGUGGAGCUCCUGGCCUCUUCCUUACUGGGAGGGAAAACGGUCCACCCCGAUGCCUUAUUUGGAGCCGUAAGGAGUCCUUACUUGCUUGGGUAGGGGGUACACGUAUUCACACACCGUCACUCGAAGUUGACUAGACAAUGAGGCUUCCUUAUCUCCUCUAACGGGUGGGAUUUUCCACGUUGGGCCUGCCAGGUAACUGAGUCUCUUUGGGGUAUGCAGACAUUGGGAGUCUCCAAGACCACCCUCAGUUUCAGUAAUUCACCCCAAGAUUCACAGAACUUAUUGAGCGCUGUUUGACUCACAAUUAUGGUUCAUUACAGCAAAAGGUUACAGAGUAAAGGUGGCCACGGGAAGCAACGCCUUGAAGCCAAGGCCCAGAGCGUUCCAAGCACAAAGCUUCUGGUGUCUUCCCCCCGUAGAGAGUCUGACGGCACUGCCUCCUCCGGGCACCGAAGCGUGACCAUAGGCAGAGGGCUGUCGGGCAGGGGAGUUCACUCGCGGCUCGGGGUCCGGAGUUUUCCCUGGGGCUCCGUCGCGCAGCUCUGGUCGACCGCCUGCACGACGUCAGCUUCCGGCCCCUGCAGAGGCUGGGCUGAUAGGGUGGCCCAGAGCCCCCUCACGAAUCACACUGUUAGAACGGGCGACGACGCUAAGGCUCCCAGAUGAACAAAGACACUCUUAUCAGGCAGGACAUUCCAAGGGCUCAGAGAUUAUCUCUCAGGACAAAGGCCAGACUUCUUUCCGGGCAGAAUUCACUUUCCCACCCAGGGCGGAUGAGUCAUCUUUCCUGUUUCUUCCCGCCCGUUUCCACCGGUCUGCAGUCCUCUGCCGGCAGGCGUCUGGGCCGGCAGACCCCGCGGUGACACGGUGAAUGGGGCUGCCCCGUCCCUGCCUCCGCUUUGGGGUGGCUGACCCCGCCAGGCCUCCCCAAGGGCAGCGUGGCUCGCUCCGACUCACCCCACCGGCUCUGCUGGGCCCGCAGAUCCCACCAGUCUAGGCGGCCUUCUCUCCCUGGCUCCCGGCCUAGGCGUCUGCCCUUCAGCCUUGAGGUCGGGUCACCUCACACCUAACCGCAGAGGCCCUACCUUGGCAGGCCCUGAGGCCAUCGGUUCUGUCACCUACCUUGUGGUACCCCACAGGAGGCCGUGGGAGCUUCUGGGGCCCUUCCGUGCCCCUCACCAGCCAGCGCAGGCUUGGGAGGGGGCACACUGGCCCCCCCUCUGCCGAACGGUGCCCCCAUCUGUCCAUCUCCGCUGUGCUGUGGUGUCCCAGGGAGGCCCGUCUGCUUGGCGCUCUCUGCUCAGAAGGACUGGGCCACUGUCCCCUUUGCUUCCCUCUUUCCCCCUCUUCCAGACUGUGCCCCGGGCAGGACAGGCCCCCUUGGUGGUCUUUUUGCCUUCUUGCCUUGGGUUAUUUUCCCCACCGCCCACCGCCCACUGGGCCAGAAGGAAGGACUUCCUUUACAUGGGGUUUUCCUCUCUCCUCCUGGUCGAGGAUUCCCUUGGGCUCUGCUACCUGAGUGGCUGCGGGGGAAGUAGACUUACAACUUAAAAGAAAGAAAACUAUUUUCAAAACAUUACCUAUAUUACACCUGUGUAAAGAGCUGGACAGCAGUGAAAGCCUGGGGCCCACAGAGAGCGGGGAAGCCGUCCGCUCUCACCCUCCUUCCCGCCUUCCUCGGGGCUGAAGGGCCCACAGAAGCUGAACAACUUCAAGGGAGUGGGUUUGGAAAUGGAAGGGGUUCGCGAUUCCCUAGCCUGUCAAUUUCCACGGCAGUGCGCAUAGCUGCCAUUUACGUCAACACGAGAUGCCCUGUGUUGUGCUAACGUUAGUCAGUCCUCCCCAAAGGCCGAUCAUCACCCCCAUUUUGCUGACGAGAAAACCGAGGCUCGGGGAAGUCAUUUGUCCCACGUCUCACAGCUGGUGAGUGCUGUGUGCAGGGGUUUAAACCCAGCACCAUCUGACUGCGGAGAUCUGCACUAAUUAACCAUUCCCCUCAACUGCCUUUCGGUGAGGCUUUUCCCGUUUCUGGCUUCCUCCUUACUGCCUUACGAAGGCAUUCGGUGAAGCACAACUUCAUGCUUGGUUGCAUGCACUGUUUUGCAAACUUCCAAGGAUUCCCCUGAUGAUAGAGUGGUGGCAUUUAAAACCCGCUCGGGGGUUGGCAAGCAUCCCCCCACAUCCUGCUGGGAUUACUGAGGGAAUCAGCCGCUUGGGACUCCACCUUCCUAAUCGGCUCUUAAGGGAACUAGUAAUGAACCUAAUUGGAAGCAUUACUUGAUUCCCUGCAGGAUUAUUUUACAUAAA